rnacentral:precursor_RNA from 1 species
AUUGAGCCUUGGUAUGGAAACCUGCUAAGUGAUAACUUCCAAAUUCAGAGAAACCCUGGAAUUAAAAAUGGGCAAUCCUGAGCCAAAUCUUUAUGUUAAGAAAACAAAGGAUAGGUGCAGAGACUCAAUGGAAGCUGUUCUAACAAAUGGAAUUGACGUUGACUACGUUGCGUUGGUAGUUGGAAUCCCUCUAUCGAAAUUACAGAAAGGAUGACCCUAUAUGCGUAUAUAUACAUACUGACAUAUCAAACGAUUAAUCACAACUCGAAUCUGGAAUCCAUAUUAAUAACUAUAUAUUAUAGUUAUUAUUAUAUAUUUUCUUUAUAUUUAUAUUUUAAUAAAGAUAUAUUUUUUUAUAAAUUUAUAUAUUAAUUAAGAAUUAAGAGUUAUUUUAAAUAUAUUCCAGUCGAAGUUGAAGGAAGAAUCGAAUAUUCAGUGAUCAAAUCAUUCAUUCCGGAGUCGGAUAGAUCUUUUGAAAAAAAAAAUGAUUAAUCGGACGAGAAUAAAGAGAGAGUCCUGUUCUACGUGUCAAUACCGACAGCAAUGAAAUUUAUAGUAUUAGGAAGACUAA